UUUGUGUCAUAAUUGUUUUUUGAGUAAUUGAGUUUUUGAUUCAUUGUUAGUUUUGUCAUAAUUUGAGUUUGUGUCAUAAUUGUGAGUUUUUGCGUCAUAAUUGAGUUUUUGUGUCAUAAUUGCGGGCGAAGCAUGUUUUGUCCGUGUAACUGGGCUUCCGUGUGUGUCCUGCUGAAGCGCAGCGUCUCUCUCUCACAUUUAUCCUCUCAUCUGUUGAGCAAAUGACUGAGAAAAGAGGAACAGAAAGAGGAAGAAACACAGUCUUGAGCAAGACUCUUCUCAGAAUCUCACUGUCCUCUUGUGUUUUUCAGAAAGGAGACGGAGACAUCUAUCAGGAUCUGGGCCGUCGUGAUCAGGACACCUACGACACUCUUCAUGGGAUGAAGAAAAAGCCUCUGGCCUGAAGCUGUUCCUGAGAACGCCGGCCUGCUCUGUUCAUAAUGAAGCUUCGUUAAUCUCUGUCCUCGUCAUCAGCAUGUGUCUUUGAGACAGACGUCAUGGUUAAUCUGUAAAAUAUGUGUGUAAGGCUCUUUAUGCUAACAUAAUAAAAUUAUAUUUCUAACUA